UUCUGAGUUUCCUUCCUUCACUUCAUCUCAGAAGAACAUUAUUUUUUCUCUUGUGUCAAGGGGCCUUCAGCAGUGCCUCCCGAGUGUCCUACGUUCACAGCAUUACAGUGGAAAUACACCAAGGGAUGUAAACUCAAAUGUUGUAAGAAAUUCUCUUGUGUGCUGAAGAGAGAUGCCCCAGUCUGAGGAUGCUCAGCCAUGCUUCUAUCCAGGAGGUACUACUGAAAGAAAGAAGUGGCUCUUUGAACAGCAAGAUGGAGAAUCUUAUGCAUUUUAUGGAAAUAGCACAGCUAUGACUUGCCAUCAGUUCAGCCAGCAGUCAAGCAAAGAAUGGAGCUCAGUUUUGCAAAGUCUGUCCAGGAAUAUAUCUACUAGAUUGCUUUACCCCUGA
rnacentral:lncRNA from 1 species